AUUUAAAAAAAUAAGGCCAGGUUGUAAAGUCAACGUCCAGCAGUAUAUACUUUAGCAAGAUUCUGGAACACUCCCUUCACAGCAUUUCCUCAGUUUCUGUGUCUGUACUCUGAGCUGCGGGGAAGGAGCGGAUGUCAACAAGUCUACAAUGAAGGUGACUGAUUUCCCAUUUGGAUUUGAUGUAAUAAAGAAACCUGCAAUUAAGGUUUUGUGAUGCAUGAUGCAAAGCACAAGCAAUGUUUUUACUAACAGCCUCAUCCUGUGUUUGCUCAACUAGGUUUUGGGUUACAUUCUGGAAAAAAACCUUAUAAUAUAAAACCCCUUUACUGUUGAAAAAGGGUUAUAUAAUUACAUGCAUUUGAAUGUAUUCAUCACAUACAUACACCUGUAAUAUCCAAGCAAAAAAUAUAAAAAGUUUAACUCCAAAAAGAACUAGUUUUAAACCCUAAGAGCAGCCCAAAAAAAAACAGGCAACCAAAUCCAAAAAAAUGUAGCUUAAUCAAACAAACACAAGAACGGGCCAUAAUCAAACAUACAAUACCUGGAAACACAGGAAACGCAGCUCAGCUAAUGAGACUUAUCAGCGAGGGAAUGAACGGCCUGCUCAUUUGGACAUGCAAACAGGACAUGAAGCACAGGUGAUGGAAAUGAGAGCGUGAGAACAAACACUGACUCCUGACACUGAAAACUAUUUACUGCGUUCUCCUCUCUCCCCCUCCACCGCUGCCUCCAAAAUGGGUCAAUCUGAAAAUGCAGCUUUCACUCUGUAUGAAAACAGCGGUAUUCUGAAAUGAUGACGCAUAUUACACAACUUCAGGAUAAGCCUCAAAGAACCAAACAACAAGACUUGAAGAAUAAGGCUUUUCUCUUCUUCCAAGGAAAACUGCACUGCUCCAUAGUAGACCCCUAGCAAUGGGACAUCAUUCCCAGAAUGCAGUCAGAGCAACGCACUGCAGCAAGCCGUCAACACAGCAGAAUGACCUCCCUCCUGAACUUACCCAUGUUAUCCAAGCUGUCUUGUGUUUUUCUUUCUUUAGUUGCAAAGAAAUGACCUUUUUUGAGGAAAAAUUCCAGGAUUUUUCACCGUUUAGUGACUUCUAUGGUGGCCAAUGCCUACUUGGAUGAUUCACUCAGAGGCAUUGAAAGAUCAUCUUGAGCGUCUGCGGAGGGUGCUUUUGGAGCUCCAGAGGGCUGCUCUCACUGACAACCCCCUCAAAUGCCAUCUUGCCAUGUCGGAAGGGGCCUCAUCUGGUCCCAAAAGAAGGUGGAAGCGGUGUAGAAGGCUUAGAUACCUCACAAAAACCCAGGUACAGGCUUUCUUGGGGUUGGCGGGUUACUAUCGCUUCUUUAGGCCCAACUUCUCAUCGUUAGCUGCCUCCCUGAAAGAUCUGACCAGGAAGGGGUAGCCAGAGAAGAUCGGUGGAUGACGAGCGUCCCGAGGGAUCAUCAGCAUCGCCCUGGUAGUUCACGAGGAGCACCUGGCUGCCGUACCCAUCAGAAGCUGAUUGGUCACAGAUGCUGCUCCUCAUCAAGAACCCUACAAAAGCCCAGAAGACACACCGGUGAAUGAGCAAUGCCUCCACUACUGACUGCAGCUAAUGUUUUCUGUCUUGUUUCCAGCAGACAGCAGCGUGUGACCAAUCCGCCUGAUUCACUACAGCACCGGGACACAGUUUGGACUCUUUUCACCUGUUUAUUUCUUUGUUAAUAAAUCAACCCUCCGGGGAUUUUCACUGAGCUCUACUUGUCGUGUGAUUCUUCACCCAGUCACACCUUUUUCAGGUAUAUAAAGGACCCAGAAUUUACUCUGCAUUUUCAGGACAAAGCUCAAACCAUGAAGUCCAAGGAACUUCCCUUUGAUCUCAGAAAUUGAGGCAAGUUAUAGAUGGGCAUACAAUUAUUUUCAAGAUUUAGAACCCAGUGGUCAUUCUGAAAGAUAUCUAAAAGUCUUUAGCAGAGAUGAAAGAACCUGUUGGACAAAAAAAAACAUUAGGCGUUUAUGGCAGAGUGGCCUGACAUAUAAAAAGUAUAUAACAACUUGCUUAGAGUUUGCUAAACUGCAACACUACCAUCUCAGUUGGAAGUUUGCGGGGGUUCAUCAUUUAAAAGAUUAAAAGGAAAAGGAAGCAGAAUUUCCCCAGGCAUAUCAAAUGUUUGAGAUUAUAUGCACUUCUGGUUGGAUGCUAAUUCAGUACUUUUUCCUCUUUCACUAGCCACUUUAAACCGGUUAGUUUACUGCUCAAGCUCAUCAAAAAACAUGCAGUCUGUUAUGGAAAGUUUUUGAAAUAUUAAUACAUUAUUUGUGGAAAGACAAAGGUUAUGUAUCAUACGGUUUUACUUUAGGAAUACACAGCAAAAUACAGACACUGCGAUGAAAUGAUUAAAAAGCUCAAACGAAACCUAAAAUAUACAACAUACCUACAGACUGCAAAACAUUAAAAACUUCUGAUAAGUUCUGUAUACACUGACAUCCACAGCACAAGUCAAGUAGUUUACACCUUCAAUAAUCUAGACAGUAGUUUAAAACAAUGCUCAUCAGUUACCAAAAUCACAAGCACAAUCUUUGAAAAAGUUGAUUUAAAUUAUAAUUAAAAAACAAACAAACACA